rnacentral:rRNA from 1 species
UACGUAGGGUGCGAGCGUUGUCCGGAAUUAUUGGGCGUAAAGGGCUCGUAGGCGGUUUGUCACGUCGGGAGUGAAAAACUUCGGGGCUUAACCCCGAGCCUGCUUCCGAUACGGGCAGACUAGAGGUAUGCAGGGGAGAACGGAAUUCCUGGUGUAGCGGUGAAAUGCGUAGAUAUUGGGAGGAACACCAGUGGCGAAGGCGGCUCACUGGACCGGUACUGACGCUGAGGCGCGAAAGCGUGGGGAGCAAACGGG